CCUACGGGUGGCUGCAGUGGGGAAUAUUGGACAAUGGGGGCAACCCUGAUCCAGCCAUGCCGCGUGUGUGAAGAAGGCCCUCGGGUUGUAAAGCACUUUCAGUGAGGAAGAACGCCUGGUGGUUAAUACCCAUCAGGAAAGACAUCACUCACAGAAGAAGCACCGGCUAACUCCGUGCCAGCAGCCGCGGUAAUACGGAGGGUGCGAGCGUUAAUCGGAAUUACUGGGCGUAAAGCGCGCGUAGGUGGCUUGAUAAGCCGGUUGUGAAAGCCCCGGGCUCAACCUGGGAACGGCAUCCGGAACUGUCAAGCUAGAGUGCAGGAGAGGAAGGUAGAAUUCCCGGUGUAGCGGUGAAAUGCGUAGAGAUCGGGAGGAACACCAGUGGCGAAGGCGGCCUUCUGGACUGACACUGACACUGAGGUGCGAAAGCGUGGGUAGCAAACAGGAUUAGAUACCCGGGUAGUC
rnacentral:rRNA from 1 species